rnacentral:misc_RNA from 1 species
GCACAACAUACAACAGUGUCCAUCGACUAAAUAAAGAAAGUCUCUCUUGUUUCACCAUUUUGUAUACAUAAUAAAGAUGGAAUCAUAUAUAAUCACAAACAAGAAAAUGCUUCUUCUAAAAUAAAUUCACAACUAUCACAAUCUCAAAUCAUCAUCACUCGUCGGAGAACCGAAUAUUUAAAAAAACAAGUAUCAUUUUUUUCUCUGAUAAAUGAAAAAAUCAAGCACCACGCAGGAAUGCACAUACAGUAACGAACUCGUGUUGAUUUUAUGGAGAAGUUGAAGUUGCAUUUAGUCGAUGAACGAAUGCCUUUGUUCCAAAUCUUCAUGUAUCUCCUCUGCGUUUACCUGGUAUAGCAAGGCUACGGUACAACUUAUUACUUUGUGAUAAGACAGGCUAGUUGACAACUCCAUUCACAUAUUUCUCAGCAUUAGAGGUGUUUGUGGAGGUAAUCUCGACCUUUGGUGGACCUGAAUGCCGUCUUGUAAUGGCUGGUGAAGGUGAGUAAGAGAGUCGCUUCUUCACAGAACCAGCAGAUCCCUUCGCUGGUGGUGUGCCAUUUUCCACGCCUAAUGGACUCUGCAAACGCGUUGUUCUUGCUUUUGCUGACUGAGUGGAUGCCAUAUAACUUGGUACGGAUGAGCAGCUUCCCAAGCUCUCAUCAUCUCUUACUGAUGAUCCUGCAAUGCUAUGUCUCCUGUUCAUUUCUGAUUGAACGCUAAAUACGCUUCGUGUGUCAUCUUCUUGGUUUAUUGCACUGACUCUUGCACUUCCUGGUUUCGGUUUUCUAGCUGUGGAUGGCUUGGAAGGUGUAGUAGGAGACUGGCGGCUUGAAGGACGGUUUGGUUUUUGGCUUAAAGGAGAAGAUGGGAGUUCAGAGUUCAGCUGAUGACGGGCAAAUGCCUUGGUAAUUUCCCCUCCAGACAUGCUCAUGCUGGCACUUCUUACGGACAUUUGAUCACCUUUUAGUUCUUUCUCGGACAUGUUUUGGUUUUCCCUAGACCUAGCACCCAUCCACCGCUCUAACCAACUCCAACCCCAUUGAGGAUUGGUUGGAUCCAUAAAUAACAAAUUGGUAGCUUUUGAUGACUUCUUCCAGGUUUGCUGGUGGGAAUAUGAAUACGCGAGUGCUCUUUCUCGUCUCAUUGCAGCUUCAUAUCUGCCGAGCAAACUUGCUUCAAUUUGCUCUUUUGAUUGUAGAGUAUCAUCCCACUCCUCCCCUCUCCUCAAACUCUCAAGUUCUUUUGCAUGUUUCUGCAUAAGCUGCCUCUGGAGAGUUCUGUUCUCUUCCAACAACCUGCUCCUUCUAGAACUAAUCUGAGACUGCGCACGAGAUAAAGUCUGCAUGCAUUUCAGAGUAUUUGCAGUUUGCCGUUUGACAGUAGGUCCAUCAACUAAUGUUUUGAGUCUGACAAGUCCUCUUAAAGCUCUCAAUGCUCUUCUGGCCAGAUAUCCUCGAAAUGUCGUCUGAAUCCUGAUUGCAGCUAUUUCCUCCUUGGAUUUUCCUGGGAAUUGAUUGACCGUAGUUAAUCUAACAACCUCUGCAGCAGCCUGGGCAGCUGCAACAGCCGCUUCGGCUGCUGCAGCUGUAGCAACUGCAACGGAAUACACAUGUUUAGUCUGUUCUUCUUCCACUUCAGCCAGUUUGACCUCUUCCACUUGAGGAAUAGGUUGCGGAGGAGACACUGAGGCAACCACCAAAGUUGAAGAAUCUGGGAGUGGCUGUUUUUCUUUCCCAAACCAUUUCUUCUUUGAUUUACCAUCUUUCUUCUCCUUAGAGUUUGGGCUCAAAGCCUUCUUUACUGAAGAAAACCAGCUUCCUUUCUUCCCCAUCUUCUCGUUCGACAAAUGGUCUUAUCCUUUAAAACUGGAGCUGCACAGAUCUCAGAAAGCUUGUAUUCUGUUCUUGUAUUGUUCAAAGACUGCAGCUUUAUUCUUCUUUUUUUCCAACUUUCAAAAGUCACAAACAAUGUGGCAUCUUCUUCUUCUUCUCUGUAACAGAAAACAAAAAGAUAAGAAAAGAGUUGGACCCCUCUAUCUUUUGACCCUUUUUUGCAUUUUGUAUUGUGAGUGAGAGAGAGAGAGAGAAUCAAAUGAUGGAGUUUGUACAUCUUGCAGAUUGUGCAGAGCAAUGGGUGGU